rnacentral:tRNA from 1 species
GGGGACGUAGCUCAGACUGGGAGAGCGCCGCCCUCGCACGGCGGAGGUCGGGGGUUCAAAUCCCCUCGUCUCCACCA